GACAGAGGUGCCAAGCGUUAGGCGGAAUCACUGGGCUUAAAGCGUGUGUAGGCGGACUUCUAAGUACCUUGUGAAAUCCCCCGGCUCAACCGGGGAACGGCUGGGUAUACUGGGAGUCUUGAGCCAGCUAGGGGUCGCCGGAACAAGUGGUGGAGCGGUGAAAUGCGUAGAUAUCACUUGGAACGCCAAUGGUGAAAACAGGCGACUGGGGCUGUGCUGACGCUGAGACACGAAAGCCAGGGGAGCGAACGGG
rnacentral:rRNA from 1 species